GGGGAUGCUAGGCAUCGACGGUGAGUCGUGCUCUUUGUGUGCAGUGUGAGAGCUGCUCGAGACUCUCUCAAAACUCGAGCAAUUUGUAUGUGCAAAGAAAAGCAUACCAAGUCCUUACGCUAACGCGUUUGGAUUCGCUCCCGCUCUAGCGUAAAUUUACGCAGGCCGUAGCGAUGCUCACCUCCUCUAUAUCUCAUAAAGGAGUGUGGGUAAAAUAGCCAUGAGAUUACGGUUUGCUAUGUCGUUUCAGUAGUAAACUCAAAUUCUUGAAACUCGAUUAUUUAGUGUUUGGUUUCUCUUAUAGCUAAAUAGUUUAAACCUAAAGUGAAACUACACACUGUAGACUCAUAAAGACACCCUCAUUCGGACGCGGGUUCAAUUCUCGCCAUCUCCACCG
rnacentral:tmRNA from 1 species